AUUGAACGCUGGCGGCAGGCCUAACACAUGCAAGUCGAACGGUAACAGGAAGCAGCUUGCUGCUUCGCUGAUGAGUGGCGGACGGGUGAGUAAUGUCUGGGAAGCUGCCUGCUGGAGGGGGAUAACUACUGGAAACGGUAGCUAAUACCGCAUAAUGUCGCAAGACCAAAGAGGGGGACCUUCGGGCCUCUUGCCAUCGGAUGUGCCCAGAUGGGAUUAGCUUGUUGGUGGGGUAACGGCUCACCAAGGCGACGAUCCCUAGCUGGUCUGAGAGGAUGACCAGCCACACUGGAACUGAGACACGGACCAGACUCCUACGGGAGGCAGCAGUGGGGAAUAGUGCACAAUGGGCGCAAGCCUGAUGCAGCCAUGCCGCGUGUAUGAAGAAGGCCUUCGGGUUGUAAAGUACUUUCAGCGGGGAGGAAGGGAGUAAAGUUAAUACCUUUGCUCAUUGACGUUACCCGCAGAAGAAGCACCGGCUAACUCCGUG
rnacentral:rRNA from 1 species